rnacentral:tRNA from 1 species
UGGGCUGGGGCUCAGUGGUAGAGCGCUCGCCUAGCAUGUGUGAGGCACUGGGUUCAAUCCUCAGCACCACAU